GAUGAACGCUGGCGGCGUGCCUAAUACAUGCAAGUCGAGCGGUAAGGCCUUUCGGGGUACACGAGCGGCGGACGGCUGAGUAACACGUAGGAACGUACCCCAAACUGAGGGAUAAGCAUUGGAAACAGUGUCUAAUACCGCAUGUGGUCACUCUGAUUUUUCAGGGGGAUUAAAGCUCCGGCGGUUUGGGAACGGCCUGCGCAUGAUUAGCUUGUUGGUGAGGUAAUGGCUCACCAAGGCGACGAUCAUUAGCUGGUCUGAGAGGAUGAUCAGCCAG
rnacentral:rRNA from 1 species